AGUUUUCAGAAUUAGUGAUAAAACUAUCUUAUAAUAUUCUUCACUUUCAGAGCUUUCAGGAUAUAUUAUGAUACUUUACAUCACAGUAAUAGCUAAUUUUGGGUUAAUAGUAAAAUAUGUUUUCUGUUGGGUUUCAUUUCAGAUACAAAAAUACAAAAACUAAGGUUUUCAGUUCAUUGCCUUAAUAAAAUGGUAUUGGAGAAUUAAAAAAAAUUGAGGUGAAAUGGCACUAUUAUAUAAGUUAGUCAAAGUGUAACACACACUUUUCUUCUCUACAGCAACAACCAACAACACAACAGACGCUGCUGCCUUGGCCAGGAAGAUAGAGAUGCUGGUUGUGAGUGUAAAGAGACGCUCCCAGCGACUUUAUAAAGACUAUGACUCCAACAAAGGUCGUGCAAGGAUCCGCCGGAAGAUCAGGCAGGAGAAAGGGAUCUCGACAGUGUCAUGGCGGAACAGAGACUUCAGGAAGAAAAAACGAUCCUUUUGUGAGAGAUGAACCACCACUGGAGUUCGUGGGGAUUCCUUAAAAGAGCUGUCUUCUCUGAUGACUAGGACAACAAUGCAAGAUUCACCGUGGGCUUGGACUGAAGACGGGAUGAAAGGUCUGCAGAGCAUCGCCAAACAGAAGCUGCAUCGUGUCAGAGAAAUGAUGGCUUUUGCGAGACACUGCUUACCUUCAAGUUUUGACUGGAGCACAGAACUUCCUUCAAAGCUUUUCAGAGGAAUAUUCUGACAGCGACUCUGACCUUGAGGAUCUGGAGUGAACUCUGCAGGGAACAGGACGUGAAUAUGAGAAGGCAGUUAUUCCUACGUUGUAGUGAGCUGCUCCUCCUAAAGGUUCCCCGAGCUCACUCCGACCCUUCUCAUAUAGUGCCCCUAACUCAUGGAAUGUUCUGCAGAGCAACUUAAAAAUGACUGCUCUUCCUACUUUUGGUUUAUUUAAAUCUAUGAUUUCUGAAUUUUACACGUCUGACUGAACUGUUUUAGCUGAAUUCAUUGUUCAACUUAUUUUUAUUCUUGCUUUUUUUUCAUAUUGUAUAUACUUUAUAGAUAUAUUUUAUCAUAUUUUUUAUCCUAUUUUAUUUCUGUGUUCUCGGUUCAUUAUAUGUUAUCCUUGUAAUUGUGUUUAUUGUGUAUGUUCGUCGUCACUGUAAAUGAGGGAAACCUCUGUGUCUUUCGAGUGAAAAUAAAGGUUAUUGAAUGUAAUGUAAGGCACAUCUUUUUCUUUUAAAAACACACUAUGGAAAAUGUACAUUUAAUUAAUAAAUUCCUCCUUACUUUGUAUAUGUAGUUAGUCAUUCAAUUGGUUGUUUAUGACAUUAAAGCAUUUAUUGUCAUUUUAUUUUGUUUUAGUUAACACUUCUACUAUGAAAGUCUUUGUAACAAUUUUGAAUGUCCAAUACUAAUAAAGUUCACUAUCAACAUUGUUGUUAUUAUCAUAAAAAAGCCUCAAAUAAUUCAUACUUUCCUUGGUUAAAAUAGAUACAUAUGUGAACUACAUUAAUACAAUAAUCAUUUUAUGCCACUGCAUGCUGUGUGUAGAUUAAUAUGACGACAUCUUCAAAUAUUACCUUUAAAAACCUUAGGCUACAGGCUGGCUGUUUUGACUGAUAGAGGCACACAGAGGUUCAUGGCACAUUGCACAAGCAUCAAAUAGUCCAGAUUUUGUUUGGUUGUAAUACAUACGUGUAGUAAUUGAAUAGUGAGAUCACGCUGCUCGACGCAGCCGACGCUAGACGCCCGUGGUCGCAACCAUACAUAGGAAGUGAAUGAAAGCCGGCCGCUACUGUCGCUCGUGACGCUUUUGCAACAAAUUGCAGUUGCACUGUGCUACACCGGUUCAUUUUGAAACGACAUGUAAUCAAACUACCCUCUGCACUUACACUUUAUAGAAACAAAAAAUAAAUCGGGGUCGAAAUCCAUAAAGUUCUGAUUUUAAAACGUUUCUCAAUCCGUCAUUGAACGCACCAGUUCUUUCGGACAAACAAAGCAGCUGGAAACACGUCUAAAAAAAGCACUUAUAUAUAUAUAUAGGCUACAUUUAUAUAUAAAUGUAACCUAUAUUUAUAUUUUUACAACAUCAAUCUCCCUAUAAUAUGAACAAAAUAUGUUCAGGUUAUACUUUCUGUCUUGAAAAACGGGCAAAACCCUAACCCGGAAAAUCAAACAAACUACAAACGUUCGGAAAAUGCAAUACACUUAAGUUUGUGGCGCCAUGUUUUUUGUAGUUCUAAAGUGUUUUCCCUAUUAUGUGAAAAUGUGUCAAGGAACUUCACAAGUGUAUUCUAUGUUUUAGGGACUGGGGAGCACAUUUAUUUGGUCAGAUUUCAUUUUUACUAUUGUUAAUUGGGUGAAAUCAUGUUUUGACCCUACCCAGUAGCGCCCCCUGUUGGUUUGACAACGGCUAUGAUAGAAGAAGUCAAGAGCUUUCCAAAAAUGUUUUCCCCAUGUUUGUAUCACAUUGUGUUGCUUUUCUGUAAGCCGUUAAAAGUGCCUUAGGUUCAAGGUUCAAAGGGCAUUCCUGAGGAGCAGGAACCAUCCAGAAUGUUCACAGGGGUAUAUCUGUACUCUGCAGAUCAAGACCUCUCCAACGAUGUCUUCACUGUCAUCCUAGGACAAAGUUUCAUUUUCAUCUUGCUCACUGACAAGGCACUUUGAUGUGUACUUUCUCACAGCCUAUAUAGAGCCAAGAUGGAUAAAAUCACUUAAACAUAUUUUAAGGGAUAUUUAGUGGCAAAAUGUGUUCAACAUACUGAUGGUGACCUUAUCCUUAGUCAUGUUAUCAAUUUGGAGCAGUUCAGACCCCAUUUACCUCUUAAACUACUUAAUGUUUCAUAUAAAUAUUUUCCGUAAUAAUUAAUAUGACCAUUUAUAGCCAUUGUGUCCCCUUCCCCAGGGCUGACAGGAUUGCCCUGAAUGAACCAAUCAUAUAUAUAUGCUAAUGCCAAUGUAUUUCUGUGUGCAGUUACAUUUUUACACACAGUUGUUUUUUAAUUGACCAAGAUAUGAGCUUUUGAAAGAAAGUAGGCCUGUGCCAUGUAGUAACAUGCUGUGCAUGGGGAAGGGAGACACAUAGGCCUACUUCACUGGACAAUGAAUGGUUUAUAUUUCACCAGUCCAUCACAAGAUAUGGAUCUGUCUCUUUACCUUUCUUUUCUAUUCGAGUAAUCCUGAUCAGAAAAACACAGUAUAUAUGGCGAAGAGUAGCUUUAGAGAGAAAGGCUUAUUGUGUGUGUUGUUGUGGAGGUCAAAUCUGUCUCAAUUACAUUUCAAUAUGUAGACCACUUUCUUAUAAGCUUAAAAUAAAUCUGAUGGCUACCAACUUUUGGUUGUAUAUCUUAUAUAUAGGGCCUAUCAGAGGUUUGGGCUAGUAAGGCUUCAGUUAAAAAAAGACAAAAUGAACAAUUUCACUGUAGGCACUCCAGACACUAACAUUAAUGUGAACAAGAACUGUAAUACACACACAAAAUAAAAAAGGAACAAACAAAUAAAAAUUAUACAACAAGAUACAUGUAAAUAAAAUAUAUACAUUUAUAACAUAAAGAUGAAAAUAAACUGAAAGAAGAAAGAGAAAACACAUAUUAACAGGAAAUAAAGCUUAAAGGAUGACCUUCAUUCUGACAUAAUAGUGUCAGUUUGUCAUGCUAUAAUACAUCUUAAAAGCAAUUAAAGUGUUUGUGUGCACUUAUGCCGGUGUCAAACUAGACAAUCUUUUCGUGUGUUCCAAUGGUCGCUGUGUCAAACGAUUAUAGAGCGAUGGAAUCGGGCCAUGGGGGCUGAGAGACUGAGAUCAGGAAAGAGUUGCUACUACACUAGUGUAAAUAGACGUUGGCGUUAUGCGGUAUGUAUGUUGUUGGCUUUCUUGUGCUCCAAAAAUAUAAAAACAACAAAUAAGGAAAGACUGUAACUGCUCAACACAAUCCUCCAGUUUGUCAAAAAUCAAUUGGACCCCCUGCAAUUAGCCUGCAGGGGAAAAAAGGGGACAGGCACAGAGGACACUGUCGCCUGCCUGCUGCAUCUUGUCCUCCAGCACCUAGACUCAUCAGGCAAUCUCGCCAGGAUCCUCUUUGUCGACUUCAACUCGGCUUUUAACACCAUCCAAAGGAAACUACCUCACCUCAACACUCCACCCAUCCUGAUCCAUCUCCUGCACAACUUCCUCUCAGACAGACGGCAAGGUGUUCAGGUUGGCACGUGCACUCAUCACCUGCACUGACGACACUGCCAUCCCUCACUCCCCUAUCGGACAAUAACUCUGUAUUACUACCACAACUUCCUGCAUCUCAAUGUAGCCAAAACAAAAGAAAUAACAU
rnacentral:lncRNA from 1 species